rnacentral:rRNA from 1 species
AUACGAGGGGUGCAAGCGUUAAUCGGAAUUACUGGGCGUAAAGCGUUCGUAGGCGGUUAUUUAAGCAAGAUGUGAAAGCCCAGGGCUCAACCUUGGAACUGCAUUUUGAACUGGGUAACUAGAGUACUGUAGAGGGUGGUGGAAUUUCCAGUGUAGCGGUGAAAUGCGUAGAGAUUGGAAGGAACAUCAGUGGCGAAGGCGGCCACCUGGACAGAUACUGACGCUGAGGAACGAAAGCGUGGGGAGCGAACAGGAUUAGAAACCCUAGUAGUCC